UAAGCAUAUCAAUAAGCGGAGGAAAAGAAACCAACAGGGAUUGCCCCAGUAACGGCGAGUGAAGCGGCAGCAGCUCAAAUUUGAAAUCUGGCCCCCAGGGCCCGAGUUGUAAUUUGCAGAGGAUGCUUUCGGCGCGGCGCCUUCCGAGUUCCCUGGAACGGGACGCCACAGAGGGUGAGAGCCCCGUCUGGUCGGACGCCAAGCCGGUGUAAAGCUCCUUCGACGAGUCGAGUAGUUUGGGAAUGCUGCUCUAAACGGGAGGUAUAUGUCUUCUAAAGCUAAAUACCGGCCAGAGACCGAUAGCGCACAAGUAGAGUGAUCGAAAGAUGAAAAGCACUUUGGAAAGAGGGUUAAACAGUACGUGAAAUUGUUGAAAGGGAAGCGCUCGUGACCAGACUUGGGCGCGGUGGAUCACCCAGCGUUCUCGCUGGUGCACUCCGCCGGGCCCAGGCCAGCAUCAGCUCGCCGCGGGGGACAAAGGCCGCGGGAACGUGGCUCCCCAGGGAGUGUUAUAGCCCGUUGCGCAAUGCCCCGCGGCGGACUGAGGUUCGCGCUCCGCAAGGAUGCUGGCGUAAUGGUCAUCAGCGACCCGUCUUGAAACACGGACCAAGGAGUCGUCUUCGUAUGCGAGUGUUCGGGUGUCAAGCCCCUACGCGGAAUGAAAGUGAACGCAGGUGAGAGCCUCGGCGCAUCAUCGACCGAUCCUGAUGUUCUCGGAUGGAUUUGAGUAAGAGCAUACGGGGCCGGACCCGAAAGAAGGUGAACUAUGCCUGUGUAGGGUGAAGCCAGAGGAAACUCUGGUGGAGGCUCGCAGCGGUUCUGACGUGCAAAUCGAUCGUCAAACAUGGGCAUGGGGGCGAAAGACUAAUCGAACCUUCUAGUAGCUGGUUUCCGCCGAAG
rnacentral:rRNA from 1 species